AACAGCGAGACUGGGAAGCUCUCUGCUUCAAAACCUGCAGGCUAACCGAGGGCCAGCUGCAAGUGGUUUGUACCGCCCGCCUCCAGGAGAGGGAAAGCAGGGAAGCGCAGCUCCUACAGCCCCAGCAAUCCACGGGACAUUUUGGAUUCCCAGGGGACAAGAGCUACCUCAGAAGAAGACCAGACCCUUCUACGUGAUCACUGCCUGAAGAGAACCGCAUCCAUCACUCCAGGAGGACUGCAGCCACCAUUUAAUAGGACUGCUGCCACCACCCUGACCCCCAGGGUGCCACGGACCUCAGGAACACAUUUACAGGAGGAGACCAACGCGUACCUUGGCCAGGAUUAGAGGAACCCUGCCUCUAGCCAGGUGGAGGAAAGAGACAAUUCUACUGGACUGUGUGGAUGCCAUGGCCUGUCUGCCCCACAAAGGAGGAUCCCACAGCUGACGUGCAUUUGUAUGGGAAGGAGUGGCACAAACAUUCCACGGUGGCUGGCCCUGAGACCCUGCAUCCUCAGCACAGACCAUCUCAGAAAUGGGUAUUUCAAGUACAUCAUUGGGUUUUGGGAUUGCUGCUGCAGAGACAGAAACCUGAACACCCUGCCUGGUCUCUCAGAUGAGCCCCUUGCUGCUGGACUGCUGAGAGUUGAAGAGUUGAAGAACAACAGGUACCAAUCACCACAGCAACACUGCACCAUCAACAAUUCUUCAUCAUAACAUAAAUUUGCUGUGGAACAUCUCAA